AAGUCAGCUGUACUGAGUGUCGAUGACACAUGUGCCUCCCAUUUUUGAAGCUCUUCUCCCUGGCGCCUCAGUGUACUGUCUGAGCUGCCCCUGGGCUACAACCGUGAUUAAGAGGAGAGGUCUCUCUUUUGAAGGGGUUGGUGGUCUCUUGAGCUGAGGAAGUGGAACACGGGGUGAGUUUUCCUUUGUUUGUUCUUUCGUCCAUUCAUUGGUUCAUUAGGAAGCCCCUUCUCUGUGCUUGGUGCUGAGGAGGGGUUUUAACAGUCUCCUCCAGCAAUGGCGCUUCGGGGCAGGGGGGAGUAUGGGGAUGCUAAGUUUUGGGGGGAGCUUCCAGUAGAUUCAUUCAGGAGGAGACUCCUUUGGAGUAAGAUGGGAAGAGCAGCUUGCAGCCCCCUGGUAGAGGCCCUUGAACGGAGAGCAGAGUUUUGUUCUGGGGCAAGUUUGGGGCAGGCAAGCCCGAGUCUCUUUCCUGUCCUUGACCCUUGCUGUGGGACUCGCUUCUCUGCUUUUCAGUUGACGAGCCUGGCUGAUGGAAAACUGGAGGGCAUGCUGUGGGCUUCUCCCCUGCCACCUUCCCCGCUCUUGACGUCUUCUGGAAAUUGCCACCUUUAGGAGUCUGAGGAGCCAGGCAUCCUCGAGGGCAGGCUUCCUGUGUGGAGAGCCUUGUGGCUGAGGUCUGACCACACCACAAACCCACUGCUGCUCAUCAGUGUGGGCCAAGGAUGGAAGAGAAGCCAUGGUGCAGAGAGGGGUGUGGGUCAGGGGCUGAGGAUGCCUCCGGCCUUUCCUAAAAAGGAGGGAGCUGGACUUGCUUUUCCCUGAGACAUCUUCUGGUUGCGCCUCAGUCUACCCUGCGUUUGUCAUUUAGAUGGGGAGCUCCCCCACCAUCUCAUUCGGCAUGGGGUUUACAGGUCUAACAGGCCACGGUUUUAUGAGCUGCCUUGUGAAUAUUAAAAGUCGCAUUUCUUUUUCUGUUUCUUUGGAUUGCUUGAAUUUUUUAAGGUUGAGCAGUUUUUUAAAUAGCAAAGUGUAAAGUCCUAAGUCUUCUUAGAGGCUGUCAUUCUCCUGUGAUUUCAGCUCCCUAGCCUCCUUCGUGACUUUGAUCACCAAGUCCCCCGUUACGUUGGAAGAUUAAAGGCAUGUGGACGUCCGGGGGAGGGCAGCCUGGAGGUGACAUUCAAAAGCUCGAUUAGUCUUCUGCGGAUCAGGUUAUGGAUUACAGCCGCAUAAAGCAAUUACUGCACAAAUGGUAGCUGCGGACUGUGCAAAUCAGAGUUUAUGCAAGCGUAAUCUCAAUUUUUUUAUCCUUUUGUAACACAUGGAAAAUAAAGGUCAGAGGAUACAGUACCAGGACGUGCAGCUACACUACAGAAGCAUUGUCCAAAACCAGAUUCAAUAAAUUAAUGGCAAACUCUACUGGAUUUCUAGUCCAGGGGAGAAAGACUAAUUGAGAUUAAACUAAAAGUAUUGUCAACUGCUACGUGUGUUUGUGCUUUUGUUUAUGCCGGAUGGGUUCCCCUUUUGGAAAUUGCUUUUACAAGCUGCGAAACUCUUCACUGGAAGCUUUCAACUGUAUUCUCCUCGCGUCAAAUGACUGAACCACGCCCGAUGGAAAUUAAAGGGCCAGUGCUCGGGAUACUGCAAUUACACAGAGAAGGGAAGAUGUGACCGAGGGCAGCUGUUACGUGUGACUUUGUGCACUGGACCCGACCUCCUGGGUUUACUCAUUGGACGGCAGGUGCAGGGAGGCGAGGGUUACCUGCAUUUCCACAUUGGAAAGGAGCAGAAUCUGGGAAGGAUGAAGCAUGGGUCAUCCAGGCCAUCUUAAAGGGAAACUGCCCUCAGAAACAUUUUGCCUUUUAAUACAUGUAGCUACCACUAAG
rnacentral:lncRNA from 1 species